rnacentral:rRNA from 1 species
UGGGGAAUAUUGGACAAUGGGCGAAAGCCUGAUCCAGCCAUGCCGCGUGUGUGAAGAAGGUCUUCGGAUUGUAAAGCACUUUAAGUGGGGAGGAAGGGCAGUAAGCGAAUACCUUGCUGUUUUGACGGUACCGACAGAAUAAGCACCGGCUAACUCGGUGACAGCAGCCGCGGUAAUACAGAGGGUGCAAGCGUUAAUCGGAAUUACUGGGCGUAAAGCGCGCGUAGGUGGUUCGUUAAGUUGAAUGUGAAAGCCCCGGGCUCAACCUGGGAACUGCAUCCAAAACUGGCGAGCUAGAGUAGGGCAGAGGGUGGUGGAAUUUCCUGUGUAGCGGUGAACUGCGUAGCUAUAGGACGGAACACCAGUGGCGAAGGCGACCACCUGGGCUCAUACUGACACUGAGGUGCGACAGCGUGGGGAGCAGACAGG